UACGUAGGGUGCAAGCGUUGUCCGGAAUUAUUGGGCGUAAAGAGCUCGUAGGCGGUCUGUCGCGUCUGCUGUGAAAACUCAGGGCUUAACCCUGAGCUUGCAGUGGGUACGGGCAGACUAGAGUGCGGUAGGGGAGACUGGAAUUCCUGGUGUAGCGGUGAAAUGCGCAGAUAUCAGGAGGAACACCGGUGGCGAAGGCGGGUCUCUGGGCCGUAACUGACGCUGGAGGAGCGAAAGCAGUGGGGAGCGAACAGG
rnacentral:rRNA from 1 species